rnacentral:rRNA from 1 species
AAAAUUUAAAAUAAAAAUACUAAAAUAGUAAAUAAAUAUUUAUUAAAACUUAAAUAAUUUGGCGGUAUUUUAGUUCAUUUAGAGGAAUCUGUUUAAUAAUUGAUAUUCCACGAAUAAAUUUACUUAAUUUAUAAUUUUGUAUAUCGUUGUUAUAAAAAUAUUUUUUAAUAAAAUUAAUAUUUAAAAAUUAAUAUUAUAAAUUAAAUCAGAUCAAGAUGCAGAUUAUAUAAUUAAGAAUAUAAUGGAUUACAAUAAAUUUAUUUAAAUGGAUUUUAAUUUGUAAUAUUUAAUUGAAGGUGGAUUUAAAUGUAAUUUUAUUUAAUUUAAUAAAAUGAUUAAAAAUUAAAAUAUGU